rnacentral:rRNA from 1 species
GCAGUCGACGGACUCAUAUUGAAACCUAGUGAUUUAUGAGUUAGUGGCGGACGGGUGAGUAACGCGUGGAAAACCUGCCGUAUACCGGGGGAUAACACUUAGAAAUAGGUGCUAAUACCGCAUAAGCGCACAGCUUCGCAUGAAGCAGUGUGAAAAACUCCGGUGGUAUACGAUGGUUCCGCGUCUGAUUAGCUAGUUGGCGGGGUAACGGCCCACCAAGGCAGCGAUCAGUAGCCGGCCUGAGAGGGUGAACGGCCACAUUGGGACUGAGACACGGCCCAAACUCCUACGGGAGGCAGCAGUGGGGAAUAUUGCACAAUGGGGGAAACCCUGAUGCAGCGACGCCGCGUGAGUGAAGAAGUAUUUCGGUACGUAAAGCUCUAUCAGCAGGGAAGAAAAUGACGGUACCUGACUAAGAAGCCCCGGCUAACUACGUGCCAGCAGCCGCGGUAAUACGUAGGGGGCAAGCGUUAUCCGGAUUUACUGGGUGUAAAGGGAGCGUAGACGGCAGCGCAAGUCUGGAGUGAAAUGUCGGGGCUCAACCCCGGCCUGCCGUUGAAACUGGCGGCCUCGAGUGGGCGAGAAGUAUGCGGAAUGCGUGGUGUAGCGGUGAAAUGCAUAGAUAUCACGCAGAACUCCGAUUGCGAAGGCGGCUUACUGGACUGUAAAUGACGCUGAGGCUCGAAAGCGUGGGGAGCAAACAGGAUUAGAUACCCUGGUAGUUCACGCCGUAAACGAUGAAUACUAGGUGUCAGGGAGCAAAGCUUUUUGGUGCCGCAGCAAACGCAAUAAGUAU